rnacentral:misc_RNA from 1 species
UGUAGGAGUGAGCCUGCUCGCGAUAGCGUUGUGUCAGUCGAGAAAAUUCAUGUCUGACACACCGCUAUCGCGAGCAGGCUCACUCCUACA